rnacentral:miRNA from 1 species
UGGGAUCUCGAUGCUGGAAUC